rnacentral:sRNA from 1 species
CGGAAGUGCCUUUCGAAGUUGUGCCGAUAAGUGCGUAAGGAACACUCAUCAUCGCAGCUCAGAAGGCACUUUCCUUAUAUCGACACCCGCCUAUCCAGGCUUUCCAUCGGUGGAUCGAG